rnacentral:rRNA from 1 species
UACAGAGGUCUCAAGCGUUGUUCGGAUUCAUUGGGCGUAAAGGGCGCGUAGGCUGCGGGGUAAGUCGGGUGUGAAAUCUCAGAGCUCAACUCUGAAACUGCACUCGAUACUGCUUUGCUUGAGGACUGGAGAGGAGAUUGGAAUUCACGGUGUAGCAGUGAAAUGCGUAGAUAUCGUGAGGAAGACCAGUGGCGAAGGCGGAUCUCUGGACAGUUCCUGACGCUGAGGCGCGAAGGCCAGGGGGAGCAAAACGGGG